rnacentral:rRNA from 1 species
GAUGAACGCUGGCGGCAUGCCUAAUACAUGCAAGUCGAACGAGAGGAAGGAAAGCUUGCUUUUCUGAAUCUAGUGGCGAACGGGUGAGUAACACGUAGGUAACCUGCCCAUGUGCCCGGGAUAACUUCUGGAAACGGAUGCUAAAACCGGAUAGGUAGCAGACAAGCAUUUGACUGCUAUUAAAGUGGCUAAGGCCAUGAACAUGGAUGGACCUGCGGUGCAUUAGCUAGUUGGUGAGGUAACGGCCCACCAAGGCGACGAUGCAUAGCCGGCCUGAGAGGGCGGACGGCCACAUUGGGACUGAGACACGGCCCAAACUCCUACGGGAGGCAGCAGUAGGGAAUUUUCGUCAAUGGGGGGAACCCUGAACGAGCAAUGCCGCGUGAGUGAGGAAGGUCUUCGGAUCGUAAAGCUCUGUUGUAAGAGGAAAACGACAUUCAUAGGGAAUGAUGAGUGAGUGAUGGUAUCUUACCAGAAAGUCACGGCUAACUACGUGCCAGCAGCCGCAGUAA